GACGAACGCUGGCGGCGUGCUUAACACAUGCAAGUCGAACGGUGAAGCGCCUUCCUUUUUGGUGGGUGUGGAUGAGUGGCGAACGGGUGAGUAACACGUGAGUAACCUGCCCCCUUCUUCUGGAUAACCGCAUGAAAGUGUGGCUAAUACGGGAUAUUCUGGGUCUGUCGCAUGAUGGGUCUGGGAAAGAUAUUGUUUCGGUGGGGGAUGGGCUCGCGGCCUAUCAGCUUGUUGGUGGGGUGAUGGCCUACCAAGGCGGUGACGGGUAGCCGGCCUGAGAGGGUGGACGGUCACACUGGGACUGAGGCACGGCCCAGACUCCUACGGGAGGCAGCAGUGGGGAAUAUUGCACAAUGGGCGCAAGCCUGAUGCAGCGACGCCGCGUGAGGGAUGGAGGCCUUCGGGUUGUGAACCUCUUUCGCCAGUGAAGCAGGCCUGCCUCGUUUGUGGGUGGGUUGACGGUAGCUGGAGAAGAAGCGCCGGCUAACUACGUG
rnacentral:rRNA from 1 species